CGCUCCAUGUCUAAAGAAAAUAUGGAGUCGGACCUGCCCGGUGAACAUUUUAACGGCCGCGGUACUCUGACCGUGCAAAGGUAGCAUAAUAACUUGCCUUAUAAUUGAAGGCUGGAAUGAAUGGUUUGACAAGAAUAAAGCUGUCUCUUAGUAGUUAAUUAGAACUUUAUUUGUAGGUGAAAAAGCCUAUAUUAUAUUGAUAGACAAGAAGACCCUAUCGAGCUUUAAAAGAAUGACAUGUUAUAUUUCAAUUUAUUUUGGUUGGGGCGACAAAGGAACAAAUAAAGCUUCCUUAAGGAGAAAUACAAACAAGUUAUGAUCCAAACUAUUUGAUUAAAGGAAUUAGUUACCGUAGGGAUAACAGCAUUAUCCUCUUUGAGAGUUCAUAUCGAAAAGGGGGUUUGUGACCUCGAUGUUGGACCAGGGUAUCCUAAAGAUGUAGCAGUCUUUAAGGGUUGGUCUGUUCGACCAUUAAAACUCUACGUGAUCUGAGUUCAGACCGGCGUGAGCCAGGUCAGUUUCUAUCUUCAAUUUUAAAGGCGAAUCUAGUACGAAAGGACCGACUUCCCCAAAGAAAUUGUUUUUAAGAUGUUGUAUAACGGAAGAUUAUCAAAUUAGCAAAAAGAAUGCGAUUGACUUAGGAUCAAUAGGUAUGGUGAAAAUCCUUAUUUGAUAUAAAGAUGGCAGAAUA
rnacentral:rRNA from 1 species